AUGACCGGAAUUGUCCACAAGGAAUUUGUUGAGUUGGCCCAGACAGGGCUAAGCUACCUGUCAUGGUCCUCAGACUGCGAGGUCUUUCUCCAGGGUAGAACCCUCCUGAGGGCGAUCGGUAAGGGGGCCCAGCUGGCCGCCAUUGAUCCCAAGUUUGAAACUGAGAAUGUGCAGGCUCUACACUUUCUCCGUCAUCACCUGUCACCUACUAUGAAAGAUGAGGUGGCUGAGCGUAGUGCUUCUGGCCUUUGGACCGCUCUUAAGCAGCGUUUUGAGCGGCUGAAGUACACUGUGAAGCCACGUGCAGAGGCAGAGUGGAUCCGUUUGAGCCAGAAGAUUGAGAAAACCCUAUCCACUUUCCACCCCGACGUGGUCCAGUCCUCACGGAACUACCACCAAGGGAACUACACGAGGUAUUCAGAGUUGAUUGAUGUCCUCCAGGUGGCGGAGGCGCAGGAUGAGGUUCUCAAAAAGAACUUUGUCGCGCAACCACUUGGGGGAGUUCUCGCCAGGAGGUGAACGCUCUCAAAGUCUGCAAGCCUCAAUAGAAGAAGAGGGGCCGCAAGGGAGGGCAGAGGCCUCAGGACUUUCUGUUGUGGCUCGGUGGAGCAUUUAUCCCGCCAGUGCCGCGCACCACCGGAGGUCGUUGAAGCAUACAAGGCUCGGAAGGCGCGUGAGACGCACCUCGCCUUGGUUCAGGAGGGAGCACCACUGGCGCCCAUGGCGGCACCCGUGAUGAUCGCUACGCCCCCUGCUGCGCCCAUAGAGACGACCCCCGUGGUGCCCAUCGCGGCAGCUUUGGCGGUCUCUACCGACGCCCACGUCGCCAUGGAGGUUGACCACAUGGUCGCCUCGGCGGCGGCGCCUCCACUAGACAUUGAUGCGGCCUCAAAGAUGAUUUCUAAGGAGGAUCAACUCACUAGUAUGGAGAUUGCGGCGGAAGUGAAUGGCUUCUUCACCGAGUCCACUUAG
rnacentral:rRNA from 1 species